rnacentral:rRNA from 1 species
AUGCUUUUCCUAAAGAUUAAGCCAUGCAUGCCUAAGACUAUGAGGAAGCAAUUCUCUCUGAAUCUGCGAACGGCUCCGCAAACCAGUUGUAAACCAUAGCAGCGUUCCGCCCGGCUUCAGCAAUGGAGCCGGGCAUUAUAUGGAUAACCAUGGUAAUUCUGAGGCUAAUACAUGACAAACAAACCUGCCGGGCCGGGGGCAACUCUGGCCAGGCGGGGGACGUGCAAAAUCCCAUUGCUAUAAACAAAACCACGAAUGAAUG